CGAGCUGUACAAAGCUGUUUCUGCGAGCUGUACAAAGCUGUUUCUACGAGCUGUACAACGCUGUUUCUGCGAGCUGUACAAAGCUGUUUCUGCGAGCUGUACAAAGCUGUUUCUGCGAGCUGUACAAAGCUGUUUCUGCGAGCUGUACAAAGCUGUUUCUGCGAGCUAGCUUGUUACAAUGCUAACUAGUGUGUAAGGAUAACAUUACAAGUGAUACAUUCAUUGUCAUUUAUGCCAAGUUCUUACUAGUUAGCUAUUCCCUGUGCAAUGUAAUAGGGGGACUUUUCGGGCUGCGUUUGUUGGCUAUGUUGCAGCAGGCUGUCACAAGCAUUCCACUGAUAAGAAUGAUUAUUUCCUAAGUUAUCUUUGAACAGUUAGGAGGGUUCAAAGAAAACCAAGUGACGGACCUUGUUCCAGUUGUAAUUAACAAUUCUGAAGGAGACCCCAAACUCUCAAUGGAAUAUUGAGGAUCACAUCAAAACCAAAUGUAGCCUACUUUCCUUUCAGAUUUUUUAUGGUGUUCCCACUGAUUGAUAUGUGAUGUUGUGUGUGUGCUUAAUGCCUAAUAUUACUGGAAAUGUGUUUUUGUUUUGUUUUUGUGUGUAUUGAUAGUGCCCAACAUUAGCCUUUAAUUGCUAAAGCCCCACUUCCUCUAUAUUUUGCUGGAGUUCAACAUCAUCAUGAUCAGGGUGAGAGAACAAAAGAACACGCAUCUCACUGUACUUCACAUUUUCCCACAUACUUAUUGGAUUAAUUACCACGAAAUGUCUAUUGUUACAGGGUAACAGUGGGUUGAAGCCCAAAGACAAUGAAAUUAACACUAAACCCUGGCCAAUCAACUACCAGGGAUAGAGGUUCUCAGGAGUGAAUGAGACGGAAUACUGUGUCUACCUGUUAGGGAAUCCUGUGAUCUGGUGGCUGAACCUGGUCAGUCUGGGCCUGUAUGUGGUUAUGGUGGCAGCAGCCUCUCUGGCCUGCCGCAGAGGAGUCCAGCUGGACAAGAGAAACAGUUGUUGCGUGUUGAUGGAAGGUGGAGGACUGCUGCUCCUGAGCUGACUGCUGCACUACGUACCCUGCUGCACUACGUACCCUUCUACACCACGUACCCUUCUACACCACGUACCCUUCUACACCACAGGCCGCAUCCUUUACUACCACCACUACUUCCCUGCCAUGCUCUUCAGCAGCAUGCUAACAGAUACAGUGGGCCUACCACAAAAACACAUGCUCCCCAUAAUUCCCCCGGUCAUGUAGACCAACUCAGUGGCCUUGUGGUUAGUAUCUGUCCUUGGAGUGGAAGGUUGGGAGUUCGAUUCAUACCAAAAGACAAAAAAUGUGAUCCGAUGCGUCUCUGCCUGGUGUCACCACAGCAUCAAGGAGAUUGAUUGGGGGUAAGGCCAUCAAGCUGCCUCAUGCUGCAGAAACAGGAGGUAGGCUCCUGCUCCAAUGAGCUGUUCCGGCUCGCACAAGACUACUUACAGUUGAAGUCGGAAGUUUACAUACACUUAGGUUGGAGUCAUUAAAACUUGUUUUUCAACCAC